GUAGUUCAGUUGGUAGAGCACCAGAUUGUGGCUCUGGGUGUCGCGAGUUCGAGUCUC
rnacentral:tRNA from 1 species